GUUUUUGAAACAUUGGAAAUCAGAGAGCUUCAAGUUUCCAUAUUUCAGUGGCUGGCAGGUACUAAUUUAUCCUGGACAAAACCUCCUUUCUCUCUGUGCUCUUUUCAUUGCUGUAAUGCAUGCUUUGCAUUCUGACUUUUCCUUUUAAAUAUCCUUCCCAUCAACCAGACCUCAUCUGUUCCCAUCAACCAACCUCAUUAGAUCUCUGUCAGUUCUCUGCUCAGUAUGCUUUCAUUUGGGAAAUUUUGUAAAUUUUCCUUCGGUAAAUCAGCAGGUACACAUGAGACUCUGGACCGAAACCAGUUAGACUUUGACUUCUGGUGGAACAAGCAGAAACAGGACUUGACCUGUAACAUCUAGGCUGUGAUCACCUCGAGUAGCAGGAGAUACAGACUACAAAUAGGAGCAUUGUAUAGCCCAGGUAUGAAGAUGGAGAAUAAAGGUGGUAGAUGAGAAACAAAAAAUGCAUAUUGCACGUUUGAAGCAGCAAAACAUCAGUAGGCAUCUUUGGUGGAGGCUGAAAAGUCAGCAAAGAGCAAAGGCAUGAGUGGGGGGAAGACUUAAUUCUGACACCUCACCUGAACUGAUCUUCUGUUAACAGGU